rnacentral:misc_RNA from 1 species
CCCAGGUACAAAAUGCAAUUUCAUUUUCUUUUCCAUUUCUUUUUUCCAAAAUAGCGACUUUGAAAAUUAAUCUUCACUUCAAUUUUCUUCAAGGAUAGCAAUUGUACGAUCAGUAUACAAUUGAAGGGGAAACUCGUUUGGGUUGCCUAUCUUGAUAUUUAUAUGAUACUCCGGCAAUGAAUGCCCCCCAAAAACCACAGCAAGAAAGCCAUUGUCUUGGCAGGAAUAUAAAAUCUAUCUCCGUUCCAAAAUCAGAGACUACUUUGGCAUGAGGAGGCUGUCUAUCAUGCAAGAACAGGGCUUAGACCAGAAG